UAAGAAGCAGCUCCACUGGGCUCUCCUCUCCAAACUCGAUCCCCUCGGAAACCCUACUCCGACACGACCGUGGAGCUCACCCCGCCGUUCCCUCCGCCGGCGCGAGCUUGUCGGCGGUGAUGUCGACCCGAAUGGCUCGAUGGCUUCACCGUACAAGUACGACGCCGAUGCACUCUCCGAAGCUAGUAUAGCGCCGCCGUCACCUUGGCCGUGGUCCGGGAUGCCGCCACGGUGCCACCGCAGCCCGGCCCACAGCAACUUGUAGAACCCGCUUCGGUAAUCAGGUGACUGUACAAAGGUUUGCUAUGCCGGACCGAAAGUUUGAAGUGGCCCUUAGUUUUUGAACUUGUGAUCCAAAGUUGAUGAGGCCAUCAUGAUAAAGGCAAAACUACAGCCUUUAGUGCUUGAAGUUUCAGCGAUCCAUUCCUCCUUUCAUCUGGGCACUCAUCGUUAUCGACAUAUGGAGUUUCCACACUGGACCACAAGCAGCAAGGUGGCUCAAGUGUUUGCAUGGUACCAGAAGGCCUUACACUGAUGCAACAAGCACCAGAUUUGCCCAAAUGUUACCUCUGGCGUUCCCUUUGUUCUUAGAACUCACAAACCUUUCCAUUGUUUUCGUCAGUGCAGUACCUUCUUCUACACUCCAUGUUUGAUGUGUAUAGCUGCUAGCCUGCUACUGAAACCCUGUUGCACAAUGCGAACUGGCCCGUACCUGGAGCAUUGUAUCGUGUCCUGGAGCUCUGAA